GCGACCUCGGAUCAGACGAGAGAACCCGCUGAACUUAAGCAUAUCAGUAAGCGGAGGAAAAGAAAACAACAGGAUUCCCCAGUAGCGGCGAGGGGGAAAAAGCCCAGCGCCGAACCCUGCGUCGCGAGACGCCUCGGGACCUGUGGCGUAUGGAGUGCGUCGCGUCCAACGGGGGAACGGAGGCAAGUCCCCCCGAGCGGGGGCCCUUUUCCGUGGCGGGGGCAAGACCCGUGCCCCCCGCGCCCCGGAUGGGAAGGACGACUCCGGGGGAGUCGGGUUGCCCCGGGAGUGGCCCCCCCAAAGGGGGGGACCCCCCCAAGGCUAAAUACGACCGCGAGACCGAUAGCAAACAAGUACCGUGAGGGGAAAAUUGAAAAAAACUUUUAAAGAGAGUUAAAGACGGAACGUUCGGGGGGGAAACGGUGGGGGCCCAAAUCCUCGACUCGGGGGGGUCCGCGGUGCCGACCGACGCACCGCCCGGGAAAAAGGGAAGUCGCGGCCGGCGGAGGCGAUCCCGGAGUUGGGGGGGGUAUCCGGGGGGUCCCUUUGGUACCGCCCGAGUUCCCCCUUUGAUGGAGAGAGCCCUGCCGCCAUUCUUUUGGGAAGGCCUCCGGGGCGCGUCGGUUUCCCUCUCGGGGCCCGGGCGUCGUGGUGGACGCGCCAUCUUCCCAGGGGGGGCUGGCGGUUCCGGUGCGGCUGGCCGGUUUCCGGGGGUUUUCGAUGCGUUCCGCUGUCCCGCGACGAGGUCGGUCCCCACCCCACCCGUCUUGAAACACGGACCGGAGUCUUACUGCGGUGCGAGUCAAUGGGGAAAAAACCCCCCGGGGAGCGAAAGCGAAGACGCGAUCCCUUCGGUUUUAAGUCGACGGGGCAGCGACCGCCUUUCCUUGACCCAAAGGGGGAAGGAGGAGAGCCCUCGGUAAGGACCCGAUAGGUGGUGAACUAUUUCGGCAGGACGAAGGCCGAGGAAACUCGGCUGAAUCCAAGCGGGUUUUGACGUGAAACGACGCCGACCCGGUAUAGGGGGAAAACCAAUCGAACCACCUGGUAGCUGGUUCCCUCCGAAAUUUCCCCAGGAUAGUGCGCUCAUUGGGGCCCUCGUUUCCCCUAGAGAGAAUGAUUAGAGCUUGGGACGCCCGUGUCACUCGACCCUUCAAACUACGAAGGGACGUGAAAACGGUUCUCCCCGAUCGGAGACCGAAGUGCGGAUGCAGGACGGGGGGCCCUUUUUGAAGCAGAACUGGCGCUGCGGGAUGAACCGAAGCCGGGGUAAGGCGCCCUAUGCGGGGCGCCAGAGCCCCCUGAAAAGGGCGGUUGCUAGAGACAGCAGGACGGUGGCCACGGAAGUCGGCACCCCCCCAAGGGGGGUGUAACAACUCACCUGCCUGCAAACCCGGGCCUGAAAAAGGGGCGCCCAGCGUCGUAGCCCGCUCCCGGGGGGGCCCCAAUUUAUUGUGAUUAUUAGGUCACCGAGUAGGGGGGGUCGCGUCGGGGGGUGAAGGCGCGGCGUGAGUCGGGCUGGACCCGGGGGGAGAUCUUGGGGUAGUAGCAAAUAUUCCAGUGAGAGCCUGGGAAAACUAACAGGGGAAGGGUUUCCCGGGGAACAGAGUUUAACAUGAGUGAGUCGGUCCUGAGGUCCUACGCCAAUGCGUAUUAUAAAUCUUUCAUUAAUAUAAAGUUGUUGAAGAGUUGAAAGAUGAAGACCGAAAAGGGUUUUUCCUUUACCCGGGCACGGGAUCCGGCCUCCGGGGGAUAGUGCGGUAACGCAACCGAACUCGGCGACGUCGUCGGAACCCGGGGAAAUUUACUUUUUCGAAGACGGCGUGUCCCUCGAAUCUCGUCGCGAGGAGAAAGGGGCGCGCCGCGAAAGAAAAACGGUCGCUGCCGCCCUGUCCGGUUUCCCCCCGCCGGCCCUUGAAAAAAAGGAGAGGGUGUGAUUUCGGGCCCGGGCCGUCCCCUAUCCGCAGCAGGUUCCAAGGUGAACAGCCUCUAGUCUGAACAAUUGGGAAGGGAAGCCGGGCCCCAUCCCUAACCUCGGAAAAAAAGGGUUGGCUUGUGUCUCGGCUCUGGGCUUCCCUAAUUAUUUCUGAAGCCCCCUCGUGACGGGGGCUGGUCCGAGGUGCGAUCGGGCCCGUACUGAGGUGGGGGGGACGGUGGAAGGGCCUUCUCCCUUUUGCAAGGGGUUUGGGGGGCCGAGGGCGAGCAUGAGACGAACAAGAACUGGCACGGACCCCGGGGGCACUGUUAUAAAAAAAAGCUUUCGAGGCCGGAGCGGUGUUACGCUGAUUUCUGCCCAGGCUCGAAUGUCAAAGGAAGAAAUUACCCAAG